CCUACGGGAGGCAGCAGCAGGGAAUCUUGCGCAAUGGGCGAAAGCCUGACGCAGCGACACCGCGUGGGGGAAGAAGGCCUCAGGGUUGUAAACCCCUUUUCUGUGGGAAGAGAUAGGACGGUACCACAGGAAUAAGCAUCGGCUAACUACGUGCCAGCAGCCGCGGUAAUACGUAGGAUGCAAGCGUUGUCCGGAUUUACUGGGCGUAAAGGGUGUGUAGGCGGCAUGUUAAGUCUCAUGUGAAAUCUCCCGGCUCAACUGGGAGGGGUCAUGGGAAACUGGCAAGCUGGAGGGCAGCAGAGGAAAGCGGAAUUCCGGGAGUAGUGGUGGAAUGCGUAGAUACCCGGAGGAACACCAGAGGCGAAGGCGGCUUUCUGGGCUGUACCUGACGCUGAGACACGAAAGCGUGGGGAGCGAACCGGAUUAGAUACCCGGGUAGUCCACGCCCUAAACGAUGGAUACUAGAUAUAGGGGGUAUUGACCCCUCCUGUGUCGGAGUUAACGCGAUAAGUAUCCCGCCUGGGGAGUACGGCCGCAAGGUUAAAACUCAAAGGAAUUGACGG
rnacentral:rRNA from 1 species